rnacentral:rRNA from 1 species
GGGGAAUAUUGCGCAAUGGGGGAAACCCUGACGCAGCGACGCCGUGUGAGGGAAGAAGGCUUUCGGGUCGUAAACCUCUGUCAGGAAGGAAGAACCUCUCAAGGCUGAACAAGCCUUGGGACUGACGGUACUUCCAGAGGAAGCACCGGCUAACUCCGUGCCAGCAGCCGCGGUAAUACGGAGGGUGCAAGCGUUAUCCGGAUUCACUGGGUUUAAAGGGUGCGUAGGCGGAUAUGUAAGUCAGUGGUGAAAUCAACGGGCUCAACCUGUUAACUGCCAUUGAUACUGUGUAUCUUGAAUAUGAGAGAGGUAGGCGGAAUGUUGCAUGUAGCGGUGAAAUGCUUAGAUAUGCUACGGAACACCGAUUGCGAAGGCAGCUUACUAUUUCGUAAUUGACGCUGAGGCACGAAAGCGUGGGUAGCGAACA